rnacentral:lncRNA from 1 species
CUUUUUGCCUUUUCUAGGGCCGCUCCUGUGGCAUGUGGAGAUUCCCAGGCUAGGGGUCUAAUUGGAGCUGUAGCUGCGGGCCUACACCAGAGCCACAGCAAUGUGGGAUCCGAGCCGUGUCUUCGACCUACACCACAGCUCAUGGCAAUGCCGGAUCCUUAACCCACUGAGCGAGGCCAGGGAUGGAACCCGCCACCUCAUGGUUCCUAGCUGGAUUCAUUCACCACAGAGCCACGACAGAAACUCCUAAUUUUUUUUUUUUUUUUAAACCAACAAAGUCCUCCUUCUAAGCCAUGGCGAUCAACCUUGACCAUGUACUUGAAUCUCCUUGAAGUGCUUUUUCAUGCAGAUACUCUUUGCAGCAACAUGGAUGGACCGGGAGGGGUAUCAUGCAAAGUGAAGUCAGAGAAAGACAGAUACUUAUGACAUCAGUUAUAUGUGGAAUCUAAAAGAAUACAACAAACUAAGUAUAAGAAGAACAAAGCAGACUCACAGAUCUAGAGAACAAGCCAGUGGUAACCAGCGGGGGGAGGGGCAGGGGAGGGGAGGGGAAUACCUGCAACGGACAUAAACUGUGCAGCAACUAGACUUCAACACACAAAAUAGGUUUUAAACGAAAAAGAGUAGUGAAACCACUCACUGCUGAGUUCACGCCCUCGUGCCCACCUGUCCCACCCCGAGUCCCUGACUGAGGCGGGGGCAUCUCGAGUGGGGCUGAGAAUGUGCACUUCCAAGAGGCUCCUGGGAGGAGGUGAGGCAGCUGGGCUGGAACCACACAGUGGGCGCCAGGAGGCUCCCAGGCAGGAUGGCGUCCCCGGUCGUGCAUCCUGCUGUCUGUUCUCUCUGGUUUCAACCGCCUGGUUUCUGCAGCCUCCCCUCUGCCAGCAUCAGCCUAGGGAGCUAACCGUCUCUACGUGGUCCUAGCGGGUACCCGUACGCCUGCCCCCUCAACCUUAGGCAGCAUGACCGCUGUCCCACCCACGGGGAAGGCGGGCUUGGGGCUGCGGAAGAACAGAGCUCCGCACAGAGCUUACCUACCAAAGGCCGCCGGCUCAGUCCUUUCUGCCUCCGCUUCUUCUCUUCGUUCCCGCCAUACUCUCAGACCAAAGGUAUAAAAGUCAAAGGGUGUCCUUUUAGAAUCGGGCUCCUGACCAACGCCAGCUUCCUCUCUUCUUCCCACGGCUUCCCAGCGCGCCGAGGGCUCCCAGGCGGCCCACGAGGCGCGCGGCAGGGCUCAGCGACGUGGAACGCGGCACGGUCAGCUCUUCCUCGUGCAUCCAGGACCACGUCCCCACGGCUCUUACACUGCCCUCAGCCAGCGUCCCUCUGCCCUGGCCGGGGGCAGGAGCAGCGUUUGAAGACGGAUCCAGAUUCCCCGCUUUUCCUGAUUGGCAGGUGGCGUUCCCCAGAGGUAUUAGCGCGCCUAAUGGAU